AAUGUUGGAAUUGUGAGAUUUCCUUACAACAAAACCUUAUCCUUAAAAACUGUCCUCAAUUAUCACUCCUAUGAUGUCUUCACCCUUAAAAUAAAAUCCUAAUUUACUCCUUUUUCCGUGUUCCUAUUUUCCUACUCAAAACAUGUUUCACUUACAAUCUUGAGCCAUUUUUCCCUCAGGCACAGCAUAAUGGUUGCAACUGCUGCCACAUUCUUCAAUUCACAGUUUCUUCACACGCAUGGUAGGAUUGAUAUAUGGAGACUCAACAGGAAUAGCUAUUUCAGUGAAAAUGUUAAGUUUGAGUUCCCUAUUCACAGAUCAGAAUUUCAUCAUCAGGUUCAUUUGCCACACCUUGCACCUAUAUGUGCAACUUUUAAGGGGCCCAAGGGGUUUGGACCCUCUUCCCAAAAGAAAAAGAAGAAGAGCAAGAAGAUAAAAAGGGAGUAUGUAGAAGAUGGAGAUGAAGAUGAUGAUGAUGAUGAUGAUGAUGAUGAAGAGGAAGAACCAGACAGGGGAGUCAUUCCUGAGAUAGUGACCAACAGGAUGAUGAACAGGAUGGCAGUCUCAGUGGGGAUUCCACUAGGUGGAAUUCCCCCCAAAGGGUCCAAAUUUCAAGAGGGGCUCCAUAGUGUCACUCCAACUGAAGAUUGUCUGAGUCUCUUUAGUAUUGUUCUCUGUUGAGUAUUAAAAAUAUACUGAUAUUAGUGUAUAAAAAUUCUUUUAUUAUAUUUUAAAAUAUCAAAAUCAAUGUCCAUCAAUGUAUCUGAAAACACAGCAGAAAAACAAUACAAAAAACCAGUGGAGAAUCUAAGUUCUAUCACUCCUUGCAAGAUCUGUCAGUCUACAUUGCCACAACUAAAGUCGUGCCUAAUUCUAUCAGUUACAAGGCAGGUGAAGUAAUGUGUCCUUUUCCUCCACAGUAAAGUAGGCCACACAAGAUGCAAGGCAGUGCAAAUGCAGAAUAAACAUGCAUAACUCAGCACUUCCCUUUGGUAAAUCAAUCAAAAUGCUGUAACAUAAGAAUUUGCUGCAACUCCGUUUCUUUUCUUUAAAGGCUUUGGGGUACAUGGACAGUUUUAAAUCUUGUCUCUGUAAAGAGAACCAACAUGAAAAAGAAAGUGGUUUAUUGAAUGUUUUCCUCUUUGUUCAGAAGAAUAGUUCGGGCUCAUAUUUUUAUCUUUUCCUGUGAUCCUGUUUUUUUCUUUUCUAUUUUUUCAGCCUUUACAGAUAAUCUUAUCCUCAUUAUGCAGAAUCAAAAACAAGCUGAAUAUUCAGAUUACUCUUAUUUAAUUUAAUUUCCUUCCCUCCCCCACAAAACAAAUCAACAAAUGUAGUUGUCCUCUCCAUCUAAUCAAACCUUUUUUCCUUUCUUUCCCUCUCAAAUCAUCAAAAAUCGAAUCAUGCAAUAGGCUAAUAUAUUCUUCUCCUUUUAUAAAUCAAUCUACACACUUCCAAUGAUAUUAAACCUAUCACAUCUUAAUUAGACUCUUUAUUCCUUAAUCAUUACAAGGUUCCUUUAAGAAUAAGCAAAUCCUUACAAUGUGGCCCUUGCAUGCUUUCGAUGUACUUUGUAAGAAGCCAUAUAGAUAAGACUACACAUAAGACCUAGGAAUCCACAUUAUGGCAAAACCCCAAGAUUCCUUGGUUUGAAUCUGCAUC